GCCCGGUUAAUGGCCAAAUCUUGUGGCGUCGCUUCUGGGAGGAUAGUAAGGAAUAAUUCCUACAGCAUGGAAGGCAAUGUGUCUGGGGUGACAGUUUCAGGGAGGUAUCUUAUCCUUAUAUUAUUGCACCAUGAGCGGUUGUUUAGGUCCUCCAUGCCAUUUUCCAGUGUCUCCACUCUGCUUCUCAGUGGGGUGAGGUCUGAUUCGUGGGUCUCUGACCCACUCCUGGAUGUCUGGUGACAGCCCGUUGAAAAAUUGCUCCAGCAGGACUAGUUGUAGCAAAUCUUCUAGUGUGCGUCUUUGUGUGUCUGUACCCAGUCUAGUUCAGCUCUGUGCAGCUUGCAUGCCCAUUCUGCGUGAGAGUCCUUCUCCAAGGUCUCUGAACCGCCCAUGUAUGCUUCUGGUGUAAUAGCAUACCGGGCCAAUAUAACCUCUUUCACCCAGUCAUAGUUCCUAAUCUC